GGCAAGAUGGCCGAGCGGUCUAAGGCGCCACGUUAAGGUUAACCCUUAAUCCGAGUUAAACAACUCAGUUCCGUGGUCCGAAAGGGCGUGGGUUCGAAUCCCACUCUUGUCA
rfam:Sordaria macrospora k-hell, WGS project CABT02000000 data, contig: 2.4